CCUAAUCGCAACUUCUCGACUCUUUCCGUGAAACUCCGGCGAAGUGUUCCGAAUUAUUUUGUAAACAAACGUGAUUAAUGUGUCAAAAAGUUAAUAACUAGAGCCAGUAGAGGUCAGAGAAAUAGCUGUUAGAACAACAAUGGCCGUAGGAGGCAUUCCUGAUAUACAUAACCUUACAGAGUUCCAGGAAAAUAUUCAAGCCCAAUAUGAAGAGAUAGCAGUAUUACAAUCUAUUUUUGACGGAGAUGAGGAAAGGUUGCGUGUCUUGGAUUCUGCUGAAUCAAGUGAUGAUAACCAAGACAAGAAUUCUAGUCACCAAGAUAUUAAGGUACUGGUAUAAAUUUAACAACUGCCGGAAUUGAUUAAAGUGGGUGAAUGCUACAAAAUGACAAUCAGAGCUUUCAUUUCUAUAGAAACAAUUCAGAGUAUUAUUGAUAUAUUCUGUUCAUCAGUUGUUGAUACAGGGUAGAAAAAAAUAAUUUUUUUGACUAAUUGAUGAAGUUUCUUAGAAAAUGACAAAAAAUACAUCUGAAAGAUAAAAUGGUAGCAAGUUCUGUGUUACAAGAUCAAGGCUAAAACUAUGCUGUCUUAAUAUUUCAUAGCAUUGGUGACAAAAAAUUGUCAGAAAAGAGACUUAAUAUGUUUUACUUAUUGAUAAAAUGUCAAGAAAUGACAAAAAUUUCACCCGAAAGAUAAACAGUAACAAGUGUUGUAUUAAAAGGACAUGUCUAUAACUAUGCUGUUAUUACAUAAGAGAAAAUAAUCUUUCAUAGCAGUGAUUACAAAAGAUGGUCAGGAAAAAAGAUAUGUAGAGAGCAUUUAUAAACAAUGCACGUCAUAAUCAUUAAGGCGCA